rnacentral:lncRNA from 1 species
GCCAAAGAAAAAAAGCAUAAAAAACGAUAAUUUAAAUUAUAUAUUAAUCAAAAGUACUUAGAUAUUUUGAUUAAAUAUUAUCUUCAGCAAACAUAAGAAAAAAUGGAACAGAAUGUAGCAAACAAAAAUUUAAAAUAGUAUUAUAAAUCGCACAUUUUUGAAUGCACUACAUGUGCAUAGCAGUGAGAUGAAAGAGAGAUGUUUUUUUAUACAAAAUAGUAGUAAAAUUAAGAUAACUAAGCAAUAAAUAAAUACAUAUGCAAUUUAGCAUAAGCAUACAGAUGAUGAUGAUAAAAAUAAAAAUUAAACAAGAAUGAUUAAAAAGAAAAACAUUAAUACGUUUUGUAUUGAUAUGAAUAAAUCCAUGCACUUGAGACCUUGACACCUUGGUUAUCAUUAAUGACAUUCGUAAUCUUGCUUUUGAUUUUAAUUUCAAGUGAUUUUAACAGUAAUCCCUCAGUGGAAGUACUUGCCUAUCUCACUACCUCUGCUCUGUCUCAAUCAAUAUCCAGAUUGUAUUCCAAAAACAGUUUACUUAGUACAGUAGUAAUUUUUUCAAAGAAAUAUAUCCUGCUUGUACUUAGCAAUGUAGUUUUCAAGGUUAUGGAAAGUGGUUCAUAUAUAUAAGUUUCAUCACAGUUAAUUAUAAAAUAUCAAGUAGCAAUUAAUAGCUAGCUUCUUAUCUAAUUUUUGUACAGU